CCUACGGGUGGCAGCAGUAGGGAAUAUUGCUCAAUGGGGGAAACCCUGAAGCAGCAACGCCGCGUGGGGGAUGAAGGUUUUCGGAUUGUAAACUCCUUUUGUUAGAGAAGAUAAUGACGGUAUCUAACGAAUAAGCACCGGCCAACUCCGUACCAGCAGCCGCCGUAAUACGGAGGGUGCAAGCGUUACGCGGAAUCACUGGGCGUAAAGAGGGCGGAGGCGGGAUAGCAAGUCAGAUGUGAAAUCCUAUGGGUUAACCAUAGAGGUGCAUUUGAAACUGUUAUUCUAGAGUGUGGGAGAGGUAGGUGGAAUUCUUGGUGUAGGGGUGAAAUCCGUAGAGAUCGAGAGGAAUACUCAUUGCGAAGGCGACCUGCUAGAACAUAACUGACGCUGAUGCGCGAAAGCGUGGGGAGCAAACAGGAUUAGAUACCCCAGUAGUC
rnacentral:rRNA from 1 species